rnacentral:rRNA from 1 species
GACGAACGCUGGCGGCGUGCCUAAUACAUGCAAGUCGAACGAAGCUGUUUUAACUGGUGCUUGCACCGACUUAAACAACUGAGUGGCGAACGGGUGAGUAACACGUGGGUAACCUGCCCCAAAGCGGGGGAUAACAUUUGGAAACAGAUGCUAAUACCGCAUAAUCACAGAAACCACAUGGUUUCUGUGUCAAAGAUGGUUUCGGCUAUCACUUUGGGAUGGACCCGCGGCGUAUUAGCUAGUUGGUAAGGUAAUGGCUUACCAAGGCAAUGAUACGUAGCCGAGAUGAGAGGUUGAUCGGCCACAUUGGGACUGAGACACGGACCAAACUCCGACGGGAGGCAGCAGUAGGGAAUCUUCCACAAUGGACGAAAGUCUGAUGGAGCAACGCCGCGUGAGUGAAGAAGGUUUUCGGAUCGUAAAACUCUGUUGUCAGAGAAGAACGUGUGCGAGAGUAACUGUUCGUGCAGUGACGGUAUCUGGCCAGAAAGCCACGGCUAACUACGUGCCAGCCGCCGCGGUAA